GCCAAGUUGUGGCCGGGGGCAGAAAGGUCUGCUAAUCCUAACUCCCAUGGUUCAACUCCAUGGCUCACUU
rnacentral:tRNA from 1 species